AUUAUACUCUUUCUGUUCUAAAAUUCUUGCCUUAGAUUUGUAUAGAUAUAAAUGUAUCUAGACACAUUUUAGUAUUUAGAUACAUUCAUUUUAAACAAACGAAGACAUAAAUUUUGAAACGAAGGGAGUAAGUA
rnacentral:pre_miRNA from 1 species